UCCUACGGGAGGCAGCAGUGGGGAAUAUUGGACAAUGGGCGCAAGCUUGAUCCAGCCAGCCGCGUGUGUGAAGAAGGCCCUCGGGUUGUAAAGCACUUUCAGUGAGGAAGAACGCCUGGCGGUUAAUACCCGCCAGGGAAGACAUCACUCACAGAAGAAGCACCGGCUAACUCCGUGCCAGCAGCCGCGGUAAUACGGAGGGUGCGAGCGUUAAUCGGAAUUACUGGGCGUAAAGCGCGCGUAGGUGGCUUGAUCAGCCGGUUGUGAAAGCCCCGGGCUCAACCUGGGAACGGCAUCCGGAACUGUCAGGCUAGAGUGCAGGAGAGGAAGGUAGAAUUCCCGGUGUAGCGGUGAAAUGCGUAGAGAUCGGGAGGAAUACCAGUGGCGAAGGCGGCCUUCUGGACUGACACUGACACUGAGGUGCGAAAGCGUGGGUAGCAAACAGGAUUAGAUACCCUGGUAGUCCACGCCGUAAACGAUGUCGACUAGCCGUUGGGUCCCUCGNGGACUUUGUGGCGCAGUAACGCGNUAAGUNCCG
rnacentral:rRNA from 1 species